GACGCGGUGGCCUAAUGGUUAGCGCGAUGGACUCCGGAUCGAGCGGUCCUGGUUCAAGCAUUAGCCUGGGUCA